GCUGCCCUUUCCGCCGGCGGCCCCUUUCCUGGCGGUCCCCGGGAUGGUCCCUGGAACCCCGAGGACGCCGAGGUUACGGGAAGUUCGGGGACUGGCGGGAGAAGGGGGUGGGUUGUCCGCGGCGAGGGGCGCGGGGCGCAUCUUCUCUUCCUUUUAUGGGCUGCUACACUUGUGUGUCCCUUCUUCCUUGAAUUUAACCAGGAGUGAGCAGUGGACAGCUUCUUCCUUGUGAGAAGGAGGUGAAGCAGGACCUGAAAUCCCGUGCUCAGCUCCCACAGCCCCUGUGUCCAGGACAAGUCCUUUGCUGACUCAGCAGCAGACGCCACCCGGAGCCCUUCGGGAGCCUUUCCCUGUUCUUCCAGCAUGGAUCGGAAAUUCCGUUCCCACUGUCCACAGCCUCCCAGAUAUAGCUCCGGUUCCAGCCUCAUGUGAUAGCGUGAAGAGAAACGGUGGUUCCAAUAGCUGUGUGCUCUGCUCCCCUUAUCCCAAACGACAGUUUAAAUGCACAAUUACACUUUUCUCUAGGGCCCAAAAUAGGAUAGGAAAGGUGGGUUUGCUCUCCUGAAUGCCUGUCACCCUUGUUUCAUAAGGAAGUCAGUCCCAGAACAGUUGUUCUGCUCCCUGCCUUCUAGUAAGUACUGCUCUGAGUGUGCUUGCUUUGCCAGAUGGUUAAAAUAGAGCAGGGGAUAGACGGAUAGACGUCUCCACCCUCACGGAGUUCGCCUUCCAGUGGGAGGAGGUGAUGGGCAGGGGUCUGCACAUGUGCGUGGUAGAGCGUGUUCCACAGUGAGUGGCAUGCGGGGCAGUAGAGACAGGGUUUCACCAUGUUGGCUAGGAUGGUCUCGAUUUACUGACCUUGUGAUCCACCCCCUUCAGCCUCCCAAAGUGCUGGGAUUACAGGCGUGAGCCACCGCGCCCGGCCAGAAAACUCAUUCUUCUACUCCAUCCUACUGUUUUCCCUAAGAGAGAAAAAGUAAAACACCGCCACCACCAAUAGCAAAAAGCUGGCACCCUCUCCAUGACUUUUCAUAUCUACACAUUUGUACAGCUUUAUUUUUAAGCCUUGUGAAAUUCUAUGCAUGAGAGACCUCAGCUAGGUUUAGGGAGUUCUAGGGUUUGCAGAGUAAAUGAAGUUUCUCCCUAGAAUUAGGGAGGGUAGAGACAGGCAGAGAGCUGAAUCCUAACAGCCGCUGUCCUCAGAUCCCCCGUUUCUGAGAGUCACUUGCUGAGUGCUUCUAGUGAGUUAAGUGGUGUUCACCCAAAAGACGUGUUCACGUCCUGAUCCUGGGAACCUGUGGCUGUGAUCUUAUUUGGAAAAAGCUCUACAUGAUGUCGCUGCAGAAGUAAUCACGUUAAGGAUCUCGAGAGGACAUGACCCUGAAUUAUCUGGCUGCGCUUGAAAUCCAGUGACUGGUGAUGUUGUAAGAGAAAGACAGAGGGAGAUUUAAGAUAUGAGAGAAGGCCACGCUGAGACUGGAGUGAUGUGGCUGUGAGCCAAGGAUGCCUGGAGCCGCCAGGAGCUGGCAAAGGCAGAAGAAGCCUCCUCUGGAGCCUUUGGUGGGUGCACAGCCUGGCAGAUACAUUGGUUUUGGACUUCUGGCCUCCAGGGCUGUGAGAGAAUACACUUCUGUGGUUUCAAGCCACCCAAUGUGUGCCCCUGGAAAGCCCAAAUAGGGCGAGACCUUUUGCCAAGUGGUCUCCGAGUGUCACGUCAUCGAAUUCUCUCCCAGGCUCGUGCCAUAGUCUUCCCACUUAAGAGGAAACGGAGGUUCUGGGACACAGCCGAUCAGUGGCGGGGCCCGACUUUCAACCCAGCCCUCAUGGGGUUAGAGAACCCACUUUCCCCGUGGGACCUGCGGCCUAUGCCAAGGAUGCCUGUUCAUCUCUCCCGGGCCCAGGAGUGGGCCUUCUGGCCUAGAAGUCAAGGAAAGCCAGUCUUUCGGUUUCAAGGUUGCCCAUUAGUGGAGUCAAGCAAAAAUGGUGUGUUGCUCUUCCUCCUGAGCUCAGCCUGGGAGCACGGCCUUAACGUGUGCUUAGUGGAUCCCAAGACAGCAGCAUGGCGGUGGCAGCAUUGCAGCCUUAGCUCCUGCAGCUGUGCUUGUGAAGACAGCAGUGAGUGGCUUCCCUCUGUGACCACCUCGGAUCCUGAGUUUCACUGGGGCUGGGAUCCGUGCAUCUUGCAGUUGGCUAGAAAUUUCCCGGGCUUUCCCUCCCUUCCCUGUGCAGGGCACUGGGUGUGAGGCAUUGCAUCCGUUCUUCUGCCCACCUGCUUCCCCCUAAGAGUGUGAGCUGCAUAAAGGCAGGAACCAGACAGGAGCCUCCACGUGUUCCCAGUUCAAGGGCAGCGUUCCGUGUGUGUUUCUUCAGUAAUUCAGUGAACGACUUACUCUUCACGGACACUGCACACACUCGGCCCUGCCGUCUCCGGAGCUGGGAGGUGUGGAGCUGGCUGCUGACAUAUUUAUGCACCAAGGAGGGACGUGGGAAACAGGAGGAGUCCCGGGGCUCCAAUGCAGAGGAGCCUCUUCAUUCCCUCUACCGUGGCCGUGCAAGGGACAGCACCUUGUGGGAUUGUGUCCUCCACCCAAUUAGCAUUAGUUUGCUAAGGAUAAUGGCCUCCAGCUCCAUCCAUGUCCUUGCAAACGACAUGAUCUCAUUCCUUUCAAUGUCUGCAUAGUAUUCCAUGGUGUAUAUGUACCACGUUUUCUUUAUCGAGUCUGUCAUUGAUGGGUGCUUCGGUUGA